rnacentral:rRNA from 1 species
UACGUAGGGUGCGAGCGUUGUCCGGAAUUACUGGGCGUAAAGGGCUCGUAGGCGGCCAACUAAGUCAGACGUGAAAUCCCUCGGCUUAACCGGGGAACUGCGUCUGAUACUGGAUGGCUAGAGGUUGGGAGAGGGAUGCGGAAUUCCAGGUGUAGCGGUGAAAUGCGUAGAUAUCUGGAGGAACACCGGUGGCGAAGGCGGUGGUCUGGGCCGGAACUGACGCUGAGGAGCGAAAGCGUGGGGAGCGAACAGG